GCAUAUCAAUAAGCGGAGGAAAAGAAACCAACCGGGAUUGCCUUAGUAACGGCGAGUGAAGCGGCAAAAGCUCAAAUUUGAAAUCUGGUACCUUCGGUGCCCGAGUUGUAAUUUGGAGAGGGCAACUUUGGGGCCGUUCCUUGUCUAUGUUCCUUGGAACAGGACGUCAUAGAGGGUGAGAAUCCCGUGUGGCGAGGAGUGCGGUUCUUUGUAAAGUGCCUUCGAAGAGUCGAGUUGUUUGGGAAUGCAGCUCUAAGUGGGUGGUAAAUUCCAUCUAAAGCUAAAUAUUGGCGAGAGACCGAUAGCGAACAAGUACAGUGAUGGAAAGAUGAAAAGAACUUUGAAAAGAGAGUGAAAAAGUACGUGAAAUUGUUGAAAGGGAAGGGCAUUUGAUCAGACAUGGUGUUUUGUGCCCUCUGCUCCUUGUGGGUAGGGGAAUCUCGCAUUUCACUGGGCCAGCAUCAGUUUUGGUGGCAGGAUAAAUCCAUAGGAAUGUAGCUUGCCUCGGUAAGUAUUAUAGCCUGUGGGAAUACUGCCAGCUGGGACUGAGGACUGCGACGUAAGUCAAGGAUGCUGCAAAUAAACCAAACCA
rnacentral:rRNA from 1 species